rnacentral:rRNA from 1 species
UACGGAGGGUGCAAGCGUUAUCCGGAAUUAUUGGGCGUAAAGCGCGCGCAGGUGGUUUCUUAAGUCUGAUGUGAAAGCCCACGGCUCAACCGUGGAGGGUCAUUGGAAACUGGGAGACUUGAGUGCAGAAGAGGAAAGUGGAAUUCCAUGUGUAGCGGUGAAAUGCGUAGAGAUAUGGAGGAACACCAGUGGCGAAGGCGACUUUCUGGUCUGUAACUGACACUGAGGCGCGAAAGCGUGGGGAGCAAACAGG